UGCAACAAAAGAAACAAAGAUUAGAUUUUAGUAUGUAUUUAUAACCCAGUGUCCAGUUUGGUUUUUAUCUUUGGACUUUUAUCUUUUAUACACAAUGCAACUGAAAACCAUUUUGAAUAACAGGAAGAUUAUUAUAAUCUUAAUCAAAACAUGAUUCAAUUAAGAAUUGAGUGGGCAGCUAAAGAACUGCUAAAGAGUCAUGACUGGGAAAGAAGAAAAAAUCAGCCAAAACACUACUUUAGAAGGUGUUUUCUGUAUGGUCCCCACCAGGUACUUGAGUGCCAUGGCUAUGUAUUCUGUGAUGUUAACAUAGCAAAAUCUUUAAACAGAGAAUUCUCCCUGUUUUUUAAUGCAACCUAUUUUCCCCUUAGGCUAAUAUCAUUAAUGCAUGAAAGAUCUUUUACUAUUGUACAUAACUGAUAAACAUUCACAUCAUUAGACUACCACACAGAGUUUGAAGUCUGUUUAUUGUUACUCCUUAGGAUAGAUAAUAGGGAAAACCAGCAACAUACCCCACCCAAGUUCUAACGAUCUCUGAAUUAACAGCCUUCUGUGUUCCACACAUCUCUUAAGCUACACCAAUUCCUCAUGUGAGGAUUCCUCAGGGAUGUUUUUUACAUGACAAACGUUUACUCAUUAGGAAAGGAAAGAAAUCCAGACCAGUGCAUUAAUUCACAAGGACACAGUACAUAGGAUAUUAUAUUGACUAUAUCCAGAUAAUUACUAGCAGGAAGAAUGACUGUCUUGCUAAAACAUCUUCAGAAUACAGAUGACAAUUGGCAGAACAGCUGUGACUGCAACUCUACUCAGAGCAAGCUGUAACAUACAAGUAUUGGUGAUAUAAUUGGUUUGUGCCAGGCUGUUAACUGGUGUUAAUUAGUUGCAAAAUUCUGUGCACAGACCUUUUCACACACAAGACAUGAUUUAGAGAUUGAAAGAGAAAUACAAAAGUAGCAGACAAAAUAUCCAACCAUUUUGGCUUGUUCCCCUUCUGGAGUGAUCAAAAGGAGACUUCAAAAUGAGCACAGCUCAUUUGAAAGGACUGUGCAAACUCCUACGGGUUGACUUAGUGCUGUCCUAUGCAGAAGUUUCACACAGCUGCUAGACAAAAGCCCAGCCAAAGGAAGCAGUGCCUAUGCAGCACUGAAAUUGAGCCCAAUGACACCAAGCAACUUGGACACUUCACUGGAUCCUGGGAUCACACAGCAAGUCCCUGGUGCAGGUUCAGAGGCAGAAAAUGCUGCACUCUGCAAUUACUAGUGUGGUAAAGGCAAGACAGUCCUGAAUAGGUAAUCCUCCAGCAUGUUUAACUGCAGGUCCCACCGGGUCUAAUACCCUUCAAGAUCAGUCCAUCCUGCACCAUGACUGGAAGAUUUAGCUUGAUUUAUGUAAGAAUUUUUCCUACAAACAUUAGACUAAUCCAGACAAAGUGAUUUUUCUCCCACACAACAGUAUUUUUUCAUUGCUGAUCAUUUUGUUAUCAGAAUUUCUAUUGAAUUUUUGUUUCUGCUUACUGUCACCUUGUAGUCUUCAAAAUGAAUAUUGCCACAACUGUAACUGAAUUUUCAUGACUUACAGAACUUGAAUCUUAGGGAGAAAGUAGAAUACACAGCUGGGAAAACUGGAGUCUAGCCUUCCUUUGUAAACAGUCCUCAAAUCGAAUCGGAGAGCUGUAUCCUCAAACCAGGUGAUAUACUCUGUAGCUAUGCACUGGGGAGCUAGUAACACCGAUAUUUGUCUUUGGUAAAUAAAGACAGACCUGCUGUUUAUUCUUUGAAUCAAUCUUUAGUUUAAAGUUAAAAGCAGUAUGUCUAAGUGCCCAAUGGCAGUUCAGAAACAUAGGUAGUUAAGGAAAAGAAGGAACAAGCGUGAAUAAACAAAAGCAAAGCACACUUGAAAAAUCUCACAUAGCCCUCAUCACCUGAAAUUUUGGAGAAACCCAUCUUCACAAAAAUAUCAAAUAUACUACUGCAAGCCUUUCACCUGCAUCAUCAUUUCCUACCAGAUACGUUCUGUCACAUGUAUAAGAAUUUGACAGUGAAAAUGAAAAAACAACUGCACAAGACUCAGUAACCACAAAAAUUACACCAUUGACACCGCAUUCAAAGAGAAAAACACAGCUUCCGAGAAAGUAUAUAAAAACAAAGCAAGUUACACAGUUAUUACAUAAAUAACCUGUCCUGAGCUGAAUUUUUCUUUAUCCUCUUCUGUGGAAUCCAAUCUUUUACUUGUUCAUUUCCUUUUGAUCAUUCUGAAUAAUGCUGUACCCUUCCCACCCAGGCACUUACACUGUAAGAGAUCCUUUUGCAUUUGUUUACAAAUAUUCUCCAUACAUAAAUAAAACCCAUUUUAAGUGUUUCAGAAUACAAUAAAGAAAAAGAAAAAGUUUGUAUUGAAAACUCAUUACUAGUUUGUAAAUGAUUUAAUCUAAAAUUUUGUACCCAGUUAGUCACAAUCUGGCAACUCUAUCUGCAAUUACUCACCAGCAGUCUUUGACAAUGCAGUCACCUUCUGUUCAGAAAAAUAUUAGGUAAUGGUGCUUUCAUGUGGCUUAUACUACUAUGAGAAAAUGUAAUACAUAGGACUAGCUCUUUGAAUUUGGUUUUCUAGGGGAAAACCUGAAUUUUAUCUCUUGACACAACAAUCUCUGAGCAGAUGCCAUAUAGUAAAUACUUCAGAAACAACAAUUUGUAUAAGCAUUUGCAGUUGGAGGUAAAAUCUUUCGCUUACAAGAAGCACUACAGUGUAAGUUUGACAUAACACAAAAAAGGCAUGUUCAUUCAGUUACUUCUACGGAAUUCAAGUUUCAGAUUAAGAUAAAAACAGUACAGAUACUACAUGAAAUAAUGUAUGAAGUGACAGAACAUAAGCAACACAGAAAAGUACAAAUAUACUUAUGUACACUGACGACUUCAGUAUAAUAAAUACUGAAACCUUACAGCAUUGCUAAACAUACUGUAAUAAGUUCAGAUCAAAAAUGACACUACAUUUCAAAUGGGAAUUGGCAAAAUGCAGCAAGACCCUUCAAGACAAACUUAUAUGCUAAGAGAACAAAGGCUGUACACAAUGUUCAGAAUUUACCAACGUUUCACACAAAAACUGUGCGUAUUUUCCAUUUUUCCACCCCUUACCUAUUUUUAAAGAGGUCUGUGAUUAUUGCUUAAGAGUUAAAAUAAGGAUUGGAUUUAUAAUGUGCAGGAGCAGUGAUCUAAUAGUAUUAUUUCUCCUUCCAUUUCAGGAAAGCAAUUAGCCAUUUGCAUUAACUUUCCUGCAUUACAAAGGAGGUUUAUGCACAGGCUAAAACAUAACUGCAUACAAAAUGGACUCGAUUCAGUAAAAUCAUUUCAUGGUUACUGCAGCCAAGGCUGCCCUUGGGCUGGUGGGGAACGUGAAGCUCAUUCUUGUUGGUGAUAAUGAGGUCCAAGAUAGAGAAGUCAAUGAGGAGACGUGCUAUCAUUUGCAAAAGGAAGCUAUCAUCAACACCUUCCAGGAUGCCUUAGUCACUUUAUUACAAAUAAUGAUUAUGGAUUUAUGAAACACCAAACCAUGUCACUUUUCAGGUCUUUCCAGAAUAAUUUUUAAAAAAGCAAUCACAGCUGUUUUUCAACAGUAGAAAUCACAGUGGCAGGAAGCAAUCUUCAUUAUUAAUCAUAUUUAGUGCAUGAAUUCUGCCACCUGCAUAGGGUACAGAUCUUCUGCUGCUUGCAGAGACAAAACUUGAAAUCUUGCAUGAGUUACUUUUGCAGAGGCAGAAACUGCUUUGUUACAGCACAGAAUCACAGAAUUGUUGAGGUUAGAAGAGGAGUAACUCCCUGAAGAGGAGUAACCCCCCACUAAGCAGGAUCACUUAGAGCACAUUGCACAGCACAGCAUCAAGAGGAAGAGGAAUAGCUAUGCCCCAGGCUUUUAUAAGAUAAGGAUACAGGCUUGUGUGUAGGGGGGUUAUCUUGGAGUGUUUAUUUUAAGCAACAUUUCUUCCUUUGUUUCUCUCUAUUAGUUAUCUUUCAUCUUCCCUGAAUUUCUCCAAAUUUGUCAGUACAGCUUUGGUAACAAAGUGGAAAGAGAUGGAUGUCACAGAGCCUGUGCCAGCACAGUGCAAGCAGAGACAGUUACCCUUCUGUUCUAUGAGGCUACACCAGCACUUAGAAAUUGCCUUUGCCCAUUCUGUUAUCAUCACAAUACAUUACACACUCUUACCUAAUUUUCUUUCCAUUUUCCCACCAUUUUUCAUUCUCAAUUUCUCCUUUCUUUUUGAGAUUUUAACUUAGAGUUGCUUUAAUCAGUUUAUUAUCACGAUUUUUUUUCCUAAAGCUACAUUUCAGUUUACUUUCUGCUCUCCCUAGGGACUUUGAUUUACCUUCUAUUAAUGGUAACAGCAAAACCUUGUUCUACACAUCAUCUGCAAAGAAGCUUUCUGUUCUGACCUUCCUUUUUCACAUGGUGAUUUGCAUUAAUUC